rnacentral:rRNA from 1 species
UACGUAGGUGGCAAGCGUUGUCCGGAAUUACUGGGUGUAACGGGAGCGUAGGCGGGACGGUACGUUGAAUGUGAAAUCUAUGGGCUCAACCCAUAAACUGCGUUCAAAACUACCGUUCUUGAGUGAAGUAGAGGCAGGCGGAAUUCCUAGUGUAGCGGUGAAAUGCGUAGAUAUUAGGAGGAACACCAGUGGCGAAGGCGGCCUGCUGGGCUUUAACUGACGCUGAGGCUCGAAAGCGUGGGGAGCAAACAGG